AAUUAAUCAAUAAAGCUUUUAUAUCGAAUGAUUUGAUAACGAGAUGAAACAUUAAGAGAAUUAAAGAAAAGAUUUGGUAGUAGGAAAGUAAUAAUGAGCGUAAGUAACAAUAGAUGAUAUUUUUAAAUCGAUUUGGAAUGAAAUCUUUUGCCUAUUAAGUUACAUUCCCAAGUAAUAUGAAAAUUCACGAGCGAUGAACGCACGUGCAACCGUUCCUGCACGUAACUACAAAUGGAAUAUGAAAGUGAGAGUCGCUCGACCGUGUGUUGCUCCAUCCACGUUCUGUUGAACUUGACCCACUCUUUGUACUGUGAUACGAGCGUGCUAACGCAACGCGUCUUGCUCUCUCGCGGCUAUGCUAAUAUAACGAAGGACUCCUCCUCCUUCCUCCUCUUCCUCCUCUUGUAUACCUUCCUUCUUCUCAUUUGAGUGACACCACCUUCGAGUUAGUUUCCAUCUCUCUCUCUCUCUUUCUCUUUGAUAUUCAUUCACUUUCAGUCUGUCCCUCCCUCCCUCUCUCUCUCUCUCUCUCUCUCUCUCUCUCUCUCUCACGCUUACUCUCACUCUUACUCUUACUUUCUGUGUGACUCUCAGCGGUUAGACUAAAGUAUUCGCGGCUCGAGACGAACUUGACCCGGUUGUCGCUAAAAUAGUGACGAGGCGAUCAGUCCAUAAGUGAGUUGUGUCGAGCGUGUACGUGUGCGACAGUCGAAAGAAGAGACUUACAGGACGGAUGCGGAAAUCGUACAACGUCCUUCACCGUGACGUUAUAUGCUCCUGCAUUAUGACAUGCUCCUAAACAUGAUCGCAUAACCGCGUCACGUGGACGAUAUUGGACUCAUUAACUGGAGAGUACGUGGAAGGGUCGCUUCCGAAAGGGGUCGGAAGGAACAGAGAGAGAGAGAGAGAGGGGCUAUAUUCGGUAAGAGGCGUCCCCGUGCGUGUCGAGAGCUAGGAUCGAUAUGGAGAAAUACGGACUACUAAUCUCCGAAACGCUUCUGGAUAGUGUCACUCUGAUUGCUAACACGGAAAAUGAAGCAAUUAUAGGUACCGCCUUUGAUCAAACUCGGAUGCUUAACGAAGCGAUGCUAUGAGAGAUGCGAUCUGACGGAGAAUCAUGAUCGACUGUGAGAAAUUCAUAUCUCCGUGAAGAUCUUUCAUGAAAUAAGAACCGCACGGCAAGUAAAUCGAAGUUUAACGAGGUUAGAAAACGGAAGAAGAGGACUUUUGAGAGGGGGUGGGGGAAGCGUCAUCAUCCAGCUACAAGGCAAAUAAAACGACGACUUAUGUAGAACUAAGAAGUUUAAUUAUAAUCAGUAACCAACAAUCAUUUCCUUUGUCAUUCAUUUGUUCAAAUCUGAAUGAUUUAAUAAUAUUUUAAUGAAUUUUAAACACGAUACUUUCGAAAGCUUUUUAAUGAGCACAAUUCAAAUAUUUGCCGAAAUAUAAUAUUUAAGCAAAUGUACAUAUGUAAACAUGAAACGAUCUAAAAACAAAAUAAGUUAAUAUGCGAAAUAUAAUUUAAAAACAAAUGCAUUGUUAAUCAAUCAAAAGAACUGACACUAUUGGCAAGACAAAUUCAUUUAAAUGAAUUAUAUAAACGAACGUACAUGAAAAUAUUCUAAAAGUUUGUCAUUAUUUAAAAGUAAACGUUAAAAGCAUACACGAUCUCGGAUAUCAUUUAAUAACAUUUAUGUGAACUAUACAGAAUAUUUGUGAAAAAUGAAUGGUCUAUUACGUUAACAAUUUAACAUAUUUAAACUACAAUAUAAACAUUAUUGAACUUUUAUAAUAUUUCCAUUAACGUAGACACGGACAUGAAAAUUCCCAAAAAUUACAAAUUGCAAUUUUCUAUAAUAUAGAAGAUGAAUUGAACUCGAUAUUUCCAAGUGGAACACAAUCGUCGAUGUUGUAAAACGGUAGAGAAAAAAAAAAAGAAAAGAGAGAGAGAGAGAGAGAAAGAGAAAGAAAAAACUCUGAUAAAAGGUAGAAAUCUGCGAAAGAUGCAGAAACUGAAAUUGCAAAUUUCAACUCGGUAGAAAGUUUACUUCGCGGCCGGUUAACGAAUGUAAUGGAUUCGUUUCUCUUAAACGCUGCAGUCUAAUCAAGAAAGUGGUCUCUCAAGUGAACUCCGAAUUCUCUCUUUCCUUCCUUUUUUCCUUUCAUUCUUUUCUUCCUUAAUGUCUUGGCCUGCCUCUCUCGUAUCUCGAUGUACUGAUUGACGUCGGAAAAAAGAGAAUUAUUAUGCUGCGGCGAACUUUUACCACUUCGCACGACGGCAAAUAAAAGUCAACCUUUUAUUUCCCUCCCCCCUCCAUCCUUCUCUCUCUCUCUCUCUCUCUCUCUCUCUCUCUAUUUCUUUUUCUUUCUAUCUCUCGCGAUACGAUCGUGGUUACGUCUUAUCGCGAUUCUCAACCGGAAAUACAACAGUUCGAGUGCUGCGAUAAAAAUACUACCAUGGCGUUAAGUUAAAGGAGAAAGUAAUAAAAAAGUGAAGAGUCCACGGAAAAAAGUAAGAAACUGGUCGUAAGAUAAGGAAUAAAAUCAAUUUUUAUAACCAACCCAAAUCUAACGCAGAAUCCGAGCUAACACUGUUGAUACUCCAAAAUUUUAGAAAGAACUGAAAACUAUCAUUCGAUUAGGUACGUUUUUGUACGAUGUAAGUUUUAACUCAUAAACAUUACCGUAGAGAGUAAACAUUUUGAAAAUAUGUAACAAUGA